AUGACGAGCGUGAUCGAGGCGUGGCGCCUCCUGGACUCCGUCCGUCGCCGCUUUGGCGACGACGUCCCCGCCGCUGGGCAGGAAGAGUGUUUCCACGCCUUCAACCUCCAUGUCCACGAUGUCGUACUCGAUGCCCACCUGCAAGUACUGAUAAGACAUGCUUCAAAAAUGGAGGAGGGAGGACGUGAGCUGCUGCCUUGGUUCCUGUCCGCACCAGCUGCCACAUGGUUCCAUGAUGCUACAGUUCACUUGUUUUUCACCUCUUGA
rnacentral:rRNA from 1 species